rnacentral:rRNA from 1 species
UACGGAGGAUGCGAGCGUUAUCCGGAUUUAUUGGGUUUAAAGGGUGCGUAGGCGGGAUAUUAAGUCAGCGGUGAAAGUUUGAGGCUCAACCUUAAAAUUGCCGUUGAAACUGGUUUUCUUGAGUACAGAUGAAGUGGGCGGAAUUUGUGGUGUAGCGGUGAAAUGCAUAGAUAUCACAAGGAACUCCAAUUGCGAAGGCAGCUCACUAAGUUGUAACUGACGCUGAUGCACGAAAGCGUGGGUAUCGAACAGG